rnacentral:rRNA from 1 species
UUGGAACGCGAAGAACCUUACCAAGGCUUGACAUACACCGGAAACAUCCAGAGAUGGGUGCCCCCUUGUGGUCGGUGUACAGGUGGUGCAUGGCUGUCGUCAGCUCGUGUCGUGAGAUGUUGGGUUAAGUCCCGCAACGAGCGCAACCCUUGUCCUGUGUUGCCAGCAUGCCCUUCGGGGUGAUGGGGACUCACAGGAGACCGCCGGGGUCAACUCGGAGGAAGGUGGGGACGACGUCAAGUCAUCAUGCCCCUUAUGUCUUGGGCUGCACACGUGCUACAAUGGCCGGUACAAUGAGCUGCGAUACCGUGAGGUGGAGCGAAUCUCAAAAAGCCGGUCUCAGUUCGGAUUGGGGUCUGCAACUCGACCCCAUGAAGUCGGAGUUGGCUAGUAAUCGCAGAUCAGCAGUGCUGCGGUGAAUACGUUUCCGGGUCUUGUACACACGCACA